UUAAAUAAUAGUUAAUAGUAUACAUAAAAAAGUUUAAUUCUAACUUAAGAAUUUAUAGAAUGAUUUUAAUACAUGUAUAUAAUUUAAGAAUAAAUUUCAGUAAAUAAAAUUAUACAAUUUUAAUAGAUAUAGAAAUUAAACAUAGGUUGAAAGAAUAUGUGCCAGCAUUUGCGGUUAUACAUAUAACUAUAUAAAUAAUGUAGGUUAAAAUAAAGAUAAACAAUAUAUAGGAUUUAAGGCAGCUCAUGCAGGUGAAAUUGGUAAGUUACUCAAGUACUUAAAAGAAUUUUAUGAGAUCAUAAAUUAAAACCUGGAUUAGAUACCCAGUUAUAAUGAAAAAUAUUAUUACCUGGGUAGUAGUAAUUGAAACUUAAAGAAUUUGGCGGUAUUUUUAUAGAUCAGAGGAAUAUGUUAAAUAAUUGAUAACCCACGAUAGACUUUACAAUUUAAAAUACUUAUAUAUCAUUGUCUAAAGAUAAAAUAUUAAAGAUAUUUUCUUUUAAAUAAAUUUAAUGAAGAUAAAUCAAGGUGUAGUGAAUAAAAUUGUUUAAAUGUAUUACAAUAAUUUAAAAUUAUGAAUUGAAUUUAGUAAUGAAUAAAAAGAAAUUGGAUUUGUUUGUAAAAUCUUAAAUAUUAUUUGGUUUGGAUAUUAUACUAAAAUAUGCACACAUCGCCCGUCACUCUCGUUUAAUACGAGAUAAGUCGUAACAAAGUAGACCUACUGGAAAGUGGAUCUUGCAAGAAAAA
rnacentral:ncRNA from 1 species